CAUAUUUAUCUCCCUCUGCCAUCGAUUUAGGGUUUAGGCAGCAGCAACAUUCAGCAGCAAUCGCCGUCUUCGGCCGAUCCUUCCCCUUGCCAAUGCGGCCUUCACCUACUUUCCGCUCCCAAGUUUCCAUUCUGUUCGCUUGAUUCUUGCGUUUCCGUAGUCCGAUGGCGGCGCGCCCCAAUCGACGGAACCUUGCUCCGCGGCUGACGACUCGAUCGACGAGGUCAGCAUCCCUAUAGACUUCGAACAUGGCUCGUUGCCCUCUACGGAGAAUGCGUCGGAAGAUGUCUUCGGAACCCCUGUUGGUCCUUGUCUCCUUGAAAUAAAUAAUCUUAUCAAAAUUUGGUUAUGACGAUAUCUUCCUCCAGAGAUCAGCUAUCUGAAAAGGCUGCAGGAGCUUGAUAUCUCAUUUAAUAAGCUGAAUUGCUCACCUGCUGCUAUAUCUGAGAUUAGUUCUAUUAGAUCAAUGAAAAUUGCUAACAACAAGCUGGUUGAUCCUCCAUCAUGUCUUUCUUCAAUGGCUGACCUGGAAAUGCUCGAUUUGUCAAAUAAUAGGCUAACUUCAUUGUCUUCACUCAGACUUUCUUCUAUGCAUGCUCUUCAACUUUUGAAUCUUCAGGUAUAUUCCUCUUAAUCGGCUUCUUGUGCCACUUGAAACUGAGAAUUCUACCAUACCUACAUCGCUUUUUCCUUCUCUCAUUGAAUCAUGAACCAAGAGCACCUCCAGGUAUAUUCCUCUUAAUCGGCUUCUCGUGCCACUUGAAACUGAGAAUUCUACCAUUACCUACAUCGCUUUUUCCUUCUCUCAUUGAGUCAUGAAACCAAGAGCACCUCCAGAUCAGUUAUCCAUUGCGAAUUUGGAACUGUUGAUGCUGCAGUGAAGAUCAGACAUCUGCUGAUGGAGUAAAGGAAUUUGAGUGCAUUCUUCUAGGGGAAGUAAGGAGUCUAGGUGCUUUGAGGAAUCACAAGCACAUAGUGAAUAUUUAUGGUCAUCAGCUUUCUUGUAAGUGGCUUCCAGCACUAGAUGGGAAAGAAGGGGACAGGCUGUGGCAAUCUAUGAUUAUUAUGGAACUUAUCUAAAUCAUUUAAGGGAAGAAGGUCAGAAACAUGUUCCUGCUGACAUUGCUUUGUGCAUUGCCGAUUUUCUAAGAACAAGUGCAUAGACAGUUUAAGAACCCAAGUAAAUGCAUCUUGCUUACAAUCUGAAAUUAAGUUCUGAUUUUAUAGCUCAUAAGUUUUUGCCUGAAUUUUGGCAUUGUUCUUUUAGUUUAUUACAAUAUUUUACUGUUUUUUUGUGAUAUUAACUAAGCAUGAUUGUUCUCAUCUAUACAACUAUAAUAGCUAAAGUAGGCCAACAAGGAAGUUGGAAGUUUUAGAUCA